UACAGAGGUGCCGAGCGUUAGGCGGAAUCACUGGGCUUAAAGCGUGUGUAGGCGGAUGCCUAAGUACCUUGUGAAAUCCCCCGGCUUAACCGGGGAACUGCUUGGUAUACUGGGUGUCUUGAGCCACUUAGGGGCGACCGGAACAAAUGGUGGAGCGGUGAAAUGCGUAGAUAUCGUUUGGAACGCCAAUGGUGAAAACAGGUCGCUGGGAGUGUGCUGGACGCUGAGACACGAAAGCCAGGGGAGCGAACGGG
rnacentral:rRNA from 1 species